CGUAGGCGGUUAAAUAAGUCAGAUGUGAAAGCCCCGGGCUCAACCUGGGAACUGCAUUUGAAACUGUUUAGCUAGAGUGUGGUAGAGGAGAGUGGAAUUUCAGGUGUAGCGGUGAAAUGCGUAGAUAUCUGAGGGAACAUCAGUGGCGAAGGCGGCUCUCUGGACCAACACUGACGCUGAGGUGCGAAAGCGUGGGUAGCAAAC
rnacentral:rRNA from 1 species